GCCCUCCUUUGCAUGACAAGGCCAGAAACCUCCUCCAGACCACACAUGCUCCCGCUCUGGCCCCCUCCUUGGCAUUGGCACGGCUGUAGGCUUUGUUUGCAGCCAGGCUACCUCCAGAGUCCUGUCUGCAUGACAGUUCCUCCCUGGGUAUAAGGAGUCACCACUGCAGAGAAGCAGACAUAACAGGGACAUGGAAAUGUCUCUCUCAUCCAGAAAGCAUCAAGUCUUUUAAAGGCCACUCACCUACUGCCCUCCGUGUCCUGGUGUUGUCAGCACCUCCAUCCAAUAUGGUAGUGAGCCUCUCCACACUGAAGGAGGCAGUCUGCCUUUCAGCUUCAAGGUCGGGAUUCACAUCUCUGCUACCAGAGCUCCUGAAAUAGCCACUCCUGUUCCACUGGGCCAUCUGAGAUUGCUGGACUCCCAGAGAACAGAUGGUAUGAAUUAGUCUGUCAGCCCUCGAAAACCCAGCAGAGGCAUCAUACGCUAUCUACCAAGAUACCCAACAACAGCAAGAAGAAGAAAGCUCUCGCGAACCAGCUUCAAAAGAGCAAAGAGAACUGCGGCUUUAGAAAAAUUGCCCAAGAACAGCUGUUUUGGGGGGUAGCCAGGCCAUGGGUAAGUGACAGCCACACUACAAACGGUCUAUAAGUGGAAGCUGAAAAUGGCAACAAUUUUUGUGUUAGCAUUGUAAUGUUUAAAGUCGAAAAGGUUUUUAGCAUAAUUUCCACCGAAGGCAUCAUUAUCUGCAAAUCCAGUAACGAGCUGCUUGGGUGACUGCCCCAGAAAGAGAUUUUCCUGGUUACUGAUGUGACUGCUGGCUGGAAUAUUAAAUACUGUCAUCCCCAGUCAGUCCCCAGGGCGCUUUGCGUUGGCUGUCAUUCGAGCCUCUGCAUGUCCCCAAAGGACCCCUGGAGCCGCUUUCAGACGAUCCAGAAAGAGAGUCGCGGCACUAAAUAUGCACUUUAUAAUUCUGACCGGCAUUCCCACUCGUGAGGCAAAAAGUGUCUUCGCUACGUGUGAGUUUAAUUUUCACAUCCACACUGUUCAGCAGCAUUUUUUCUUGAAAAAUGAAAUUGCGGAGUAAACCCCCUGCUACCCACACCAGCCAGGUGGUGUUCUCGUGUGUUCCCUCUGUGUCUUCCUGAAACCCUCUGGGGGACACCUGCGUAGAGAAGAUUUCAUUGUGGUAGUUUAAAAUCAAUUCUAUAAAGGCUUGGUAAGGGUAAGCAUUGUUGUCUGGCUGACAGCCAGCUGGUACAAAGGGUGGCAAUGGGGCGAUCCUGGCAUUGUCAUCAAUGUCUGAACCGUCUUCUUUUGCUGUCUUGCAGCAUAUGCACUGCAAAGUGUUGCUGAGGUCUAAGUAAUGAUCCCUGUGUCCUGAAACAAAAUGUUCUCGAGGGGCAUUCACCGUUAAAGCAGCCGAGGUCGCACCUCACCAGAAAAGUGAUUCUCAAUACUGGUUAGAUUAGGGGCUAUUUGAAAUAAAUCUAGCUGGGAUUCAGCACAUUCUUCAGGACCGCCAUGAAUUAAAGCUGUGUUGUGUUUUCAGACAGGGGUUCUCAAGCUUUUACUUUCUGGGGCCCCUCCAACAUGCUAUAAAAACUCCACGGCCCACCUGUACCACCAUAACUGCUUUUCUGCAUCUAAAAGCCAGGGCCAGCGUUAGGGGGUAGCAAGCAGGGCAAUUUUCUGGGGCCUGCACAGGCUUCAGCUUCAGCCCCAGGUGGUGGGGUUCAGUGCCCCAGGCUUCAUCCCCAUGCAGUGGGGCUUCGGCUUUCUACCCUGGGCUCCAGUGAGACGAAUUCUGGCCUGCUUGGCAGCCCUCCGAAAACCUGCUCGUGGCCCCCCCAGGGAGUCUAUAUCCCCUUUAUCAUGAUCUAUGGUCUUCUUCUUCGGACGGCUUUCACAUUUGUCUGCGAUGGCUUUAGGCAGCUUUCCUUUUAAAGGGCAUGGGAGGGCCUGUAAAUGGACGCACAACGCUGCUCUUUUUCUCCUAAUCACUACUAGACCAGAGCCUCCCUGUUGCAUGUAUGUGCCUUCCUUGUGUGUAAUGGCACUAGAUAUGUGGGUCACUACAUUUUUGGUUAUAUGUUUUGCAUCCAUUUUCAUGUGAGUCUUAAUAAUUUCUAGCCCCUGUCUCAGAAUCAGCCCAGCUUUUCUAAAAAGACUGUGGAAUAUCCAGUCUAACUCAGCCCCCUACAUAACAGGUAAUCCCUGAUUAUCCUAAUAGAGCAUAACCAGCCUGGGCCUUUUAGUAGUUCUUAAACAAAGAGGGGUCCCCAUCAUUUUUUAUAGUCAACUUUCCCAAAGUGCAGAUGACAUUGAACGAUCACCUUUCCGAACGAAAUGAAAUGUUUUUAUUCUGGUCUGUCUUUAUUUCCGUAGUGAUGUGCUGCUUACUCCAAGGAACAUAAUGCAGUUUGCCAUGUAUGAUAGUGAUACAUUCAUUGUUGCUGCCACAGAUGUGAAAGCAACAGCGGACAUAGCAGUCCCCAAUUAACUGAUGCCCCUUAUGAUUCAGGUACUCUUAGGACGUGAUCUUAAAAAGAGAUUGUGUUAACUUUAUUUUAAAACUGCCCGUCUAGAGCGUUUUCCACGCAGCCAGCGCGUUAGAACUGUUAACAUCGGUCGGUCGCCCGCUGUGGUAACUUCGGUUGUAACUCUGUAUAAAAGCCUGCAUCAUGUCGCGGUACCAAUGGGUGCUGUGGGAUGUAAAGUACCUCCACAUCUUUCGUUUUAAAGUGCUGUUAACCCUCUCCACGACCCCCACUUUAACUUCAUUAUUGAUAACAAAACAGUAUGUGCCCGGUUGUGUUAACCAAUUCUUUAAAGCUUUGUUUACAAAUUCUUUUCCACAGUCCAUCUAUAAUUUUUGACUUGAUUGAAAAUAGUUUUAAAUGCCCUCGUCACCUCUUUCUUGGUCUUAUCCUUUAGGGCUUCCACCCAGGUGUAUUUAGACAGGAUGUCUUUCAUCAUUAAAAUGUACUUACUACCAUCAUUGUGUUUAGAGCAGGGAGCUGUAUUAACCAGAUCAGCCUGCUAUUGUGUGUCCACAUUAGACACAACCAUUUUAUUUCUUUUAAACUUGAUUAUGGCUGGUUUAUGCAGGGUGCAAGCAUCUUAAUGUAUAAACCAGGCUGCAAGCUGCUUUCUGCUCAGAGUUUUACCUUGCUUUUUAGCAGCCUGGAAUGAGGGUAUCAUGACUCCAACACUCCCAACCUCUCCGGGACAAUAAUGUAUUUUCUUUAACAGCCUUGUCAUUUCUGACCAAUGUAACUCUAGGAGUCCUGUAUAGUUGGUGUUUUUUAAAUACAGAGCAAGGCAGAAUAUUUUACAUUAAUAUACAGAGUUUUAAAAGCAAAGUAAAUAAACGGUAAUUUGUGGUAUCUAUAAACAGCUGUUGACACUCUUUGUGUUCCUUACAUUGCACUUUUAUUCUUAGUUCUGAAAUAAAAGGUGUUUAA